UGGGGAAUCUUGCGCAAUGGGGGAAACCCUGACGCAGCGACGCCGCGUGCGGGAUGAAGGCCUUCGGGUUGUAAACCGCUUUCAGCAGGGACGAGGCCUUAUGGUGACGGUACCUGCAGAAGAAGCUCCGGCUAAAUACGUGCCAGCAGCCGCGGUAAUACGUAUGGAGCAAGCGUUAUCCGGAUUCAUUGGGCGUAAAGCGCUCGUAGGCGGUCUGUUAGGUCGGCAAGUUAAAUCCGGGGGCUCAACCCCCGUCCGCUUCCGAUACCGGCAGACUUGAGUUUGGUAGGGGAAGGUGGAAUUUCUAGUGUAGCGGUGGAAUGCGCAGAUAUUAGGAAGAACACCGGUGGCGAAGGCGGCCUUCUGGGCCAUAACUGACGCUGAGGAGCGAAAGCUAGGGGAGCGAACAGG
rnacentral:rRNA from 1 species